AAAAGCAAUAACAGCGAAUUUCAUUAAAAAAAAAAAAAAUCGUUUUCAUGUUCAAAACUUUAACACGCACAAACCACUAUAAAUUACUCAAGUAUAGAGGAUAAACAGGUUAACCCAGCUAGAAGCCCUAAACAACACACAACACUCUGUAAUACGUAAGCCGAUUAACUUGGGCUGCUACCACUACUGUUACCGCCACUAGGAAGCUCCAUUCGGCCGCUACUAUUGUUGCUUCUGCUCCUCCUCCUACUCCUUAGAUUUCUUAUGGGUUAUAAUCCUCACCUCUGCCCACUUCACAAUAAGCUACUCGAGGAACUGAACUAACCCGGCUAUACUUUGAUAAACGGCACUCGUGAGAGCCAUUGGCUGCUGAUGAUCCUCUCCAAUCUCCAGAAUGGGCUUAUAAAGUUGGUACGUUGAAUACUGCAAACAAAAUUUCUACAAAUCCCAAGAUUGCACGUUGGGACACGAUAGCAGCACCCACAGCCAAUGCAAUAGACAAAAAUAACAUGGUCCUAAUGCAGCCAUGGCCUUUUGAUAGCCGUCCCAAAAUCACCUUGCAAUACUUGUCAGCUUCUCUUAAUGAUGCUUGGUGGCCAGCAUCUUCUACCUCUGCCAAUGCUUUCUCAUUCUUCUGCAUGAAACUCUUUAAAGUUUCCCUCAAUGAGUCGAGAUUAGGAUGUUUAACAGAGUACUCGUUCCAUUCAUCAGACAGCUUUCUCAGAACAAUUACACUUGCUUCAAGAUUACCCAGAUAUAACAGGUCCUAUUUCCAAACAGUAUCACAUACAAACAACAAAAGUCAAUUGUGCGUAUGUCAAUAGACAAGUCCAAGUUCUAAAUAAAAUACAGAGAGAGAGAGGAGGUCAUAGAUAACACCAAAUGCUUACCCAUUGCUUGUAACAUUCAGAGUUUUGUGCCAAACACCAAAUAAAAACAUCACUAGCUUCUCUUGAUAGGUCAGGGACACCUAUAAACAUCAUCACCAAUUAAACGCUGAUACAUAGUCAUAGACAGAAAGAAUCGACUGUUGACAAGCAAUGCAUUUAGGUUACCACCACCUUCUCCAGCAGCUUUGAAUGCAGAGUUCAAUAUCUGCUGUGUAACUUGAUUCAUUGCUUUGCUUCCAGAGGAACCAGCAAGAGCAAUUUCUUUUAAGAUUGGAUAAACAGCUUCAAACCUCUCAGUUGCCUAUAGUAAAACAAGCAUGAAAAAUUGCCUCUGAUCUCAAGUUUCUCUUAUCCAUUUACACAUGCUGCAUUAAAAUACCCACCUUAACUCGACCUGAUGGAGCUGGGAAUGUCACUCUCAUCAGAAGUUCAAAAGCUGAUGGGGGCACUAUGCGUUCACCCUUUUUAAUGGCACCAUUUAGUAAAAUUGGUCGUGCCUUUGGGAAGGACAAAAUUCUCUCAACCAACUGCAAGAUCAAGUCCCUAUAUUGCGGAUUACUGCUUGAUUUACCACUCAGUAUAGGCAAGAGAACAUGCGUCCACAUGUACAACCCCACUACCAAAUCUCCUAGGGAUGCCUGAGCAAUCAUCCACACUGUGACUGGAAGCUUGUCUUGUCCUUGAUAUUUUGGAUUUUCUCUUAUUAUUGGUAAUAAAUUGAUCAAUACAUCAGGCUUUCUUCGUAAUGCCAUUGCUAAAAUAACAAAUAUAGCUACCUGAGACUUUGAUGGUAAUUGCUGCGACACUUUUUUGGAUCCCUUGGCAGCUGCUUGAUGACUAGCAAGGUCGUCAAAAAUGCUAUCCAAUGACCACAGCACAAAGGACCCAAGUGCUUCAUGAGAUCGCUGGCCAAGCCAAUCCACAGCUAUCUUGUAAACAUCUUCAGAUAUAUGAGAAAGAGGAAUAUCAACGAACUUAGACACUGAGGCCUCUCUGAAGGUCUUCAACCAAGGGAAUUGCGCCGAGCUUACUGAUGCAAACGCCCUUCCAAAGUAAUCCGCAAAUCGGAUUAGCUGUAUAUCCUGCUGCGUCUCAUAUGAUGAGGUUAUAUCAACAAGAAACGCGCCAAGUUCACCAGCAUCGAUCAUCGCAGCCGCCUCCGCCACCGUCACCUUUGGCUUCUUUGGUUUCUUUGCCUUCACCUUCUUAGUCUCCCCGUUGGCACCUCCGCCAGGAGCUUUGGCAUCGCUGUCUCUGUCGUCAUUGGAAUGCUCCUUCGAUCCGUUCCCUGAGACGGAAUAUUCACCAACAGCGGCGGAGGCUCGCUGCGCCUCGAGUAUUUUCUGUCGGCGAUCCUCAGAAUAUUGCUCAAUGGAGCGGAACACAUCCGGACUAGUGGCGGUGAUACCAUUGUAAUGAGAGCCGGAGGAAUUCUCCGGCGGUGGGAGUUUCGAAUGCUUCCUGCUUCGCUUGUGAUAGGAUACCGUUUGCCAUUCGCCGUCGUUUUGCUUUGUAUAGUCAUCAUGGAUGUACAUUUGUUCUUCUUCUGUGAGAAAACGAUCCGCAUGAGCUGCGUUCUCAUCCAUGACUCGUAGAAACGGCAGUUUUUCUCCAAAAACGACAGAGAGAAACUGUGAUAUGUUUACACGUCGACAAGCGAGAGAGAAAAAUACAGGAGAAGAGGGUGGGUCUGGUUUUAAAAG
rnacentral:misc_RNA from 1 species